UACGUAGGGUGCGAGCGUUAAUCGGAAUUACUGGGCGUAAAGCGUGCGCAGGCGGUUUUGUAAGCCAGAUGUGAAAUCCCCGGGCUUAACCUGGGAAUGGCAUUUGGGACUGCAAGGCUGGAGUUUGGCAGAGGAGACUGGAAUUCCCGGUGUAGCAGUGAAAUGCGUAGAUAUCGGGAGGAAUACCGAUGGCGAAGGCGGGCUUCUGGCUAAUGACUGACGCUGAGGUGCGAAAGCUAGGGGAGCGAACGGG
rnacentral:rRNA from 1 species